UACGUAGGGUGCGAGCGUUGUCCGGAAUUAUUGGGCGUAAAGGGCGCGUAGGCGGCCACCGCAGGUCAGUUGUGAAAUCUCUGGGCUUAACCCAGAACGGUCAGCUGAUACUGCGGGGCUAGAGUGCAGAAGGGGCAACUGGAAUUCUCGGUGUAGCGGUGAAAUGCGUAGAUAUCGAGAGGAACACCUGCGGCGAAGGCGGGUUGCUGGGCUGACACUGACGCUGACAGCGCGAAAGCUAGGGGAGCGAACGGG
rnacentral:rRNA from 1 species